rnacentral:ncRNA from 1 species
GUAAAUGCGUUGAUAGGGAAGAGUACACUUAAGAGCCUUUUCAGAGAGAGGAAGCAUUAGCUGAGAGCUUCUUUAAGGAAUUAUUUUGAGUGGAAGGUCACCCUGAAGCAGCUUUUUUGAACUGUAAAAUCAAAGUAGGAAAAGCCGGUUAAACACCGUUAUCGAACUGAGAGCAUAGUAGCAGUCUAGCUACUAUGAAUUAAAGGUGGUAACGCGGAAUUAUAACUUCUUUCGUCCUUUUU